UACGUAGGGUGCGAGCGUUGUCCGGAAUUAUUGGGCGUAAAGAGCUCGUAGGCGGUGUGUCGCGUCGGUCGUGAAAACUUGGGGCUUAACCCUGAGCUUGCGGUCGAUACGGGCAUCACUGGAGUUCGGCAGGGGAGACUGGAAUUCCUGGUGUAGCGGUGAAAUGCGCAGAUAUCAGGAGGAACACCGGUGGCGAAGGCGGGUCUCUGGGCCGGAACUGACGCUGAGGAGCGAAAGCGUGGGGAGCGAACAGG
rnacentral:rRNA from 1 species